ensembl:lncRNA
CUCCUGGCUUCCUAGCCCCACCUAUCUUCCUGCCUCUAUCAGCCAAUCAGUGUUUAAUUUAUCAAAGCAUAAGAGAAACAUAUACAGAAGGACAUCCCCCAUCAUCUCCAAUUUUCUUCCUUCUGCCUCCCUAGUGUUGGGAUUAAAGGCAUGUGCCACCACACCCAGCUACUCUAUUUCUUUUCUUUUAAUGAUAAAUGGGUGUUUUAUUGGGGAACAACUUACACAGAUAAUAGUAAAGAAACACCAUGGCAUUCCUGCUCCAGAAGAUAUAGUCUCUGCCCUUCCAAUGCUCUCCAAGACCCAAGAGAGAGUGCCUGCCCCCACUUCUCUACCUUCUGGUCAUGUCUGCACCUGAAGUCAUGCCCAAAGGGGUGUGGUCACUAAUACAUAUUCACUGGCAAGGCGAGAUGCUACUAUACCUAAGACUAUCAGAAAUAUGUCUUUUUGGAUGGUUGUGACCACAAGUUGAGAACCAAUAUUAGUUUUUCCCAUAGAGUCCAUGAUCUAUUUAGUUUCAGUUAUUUAGCUAUUGACCAUUUUAGUCAUGUCCUGUAUGGGUUUCAUGUCAUGGAGUGGGCUUUAAGUCCAGGAAAGAAAAUUUGGUUACCCACAUAAUAUAUGUGCCACAAAUGCAACAAUGUCUCUUGAAAAUAGUUUUGUGAUUUAGGUUUCAAGGGCUUUUGUUUGUUUGUUUGUUUGUUUUGUUUUGUUUUUUUGAUACAGGGUUUCAAUGUGUAGCUUUGUAGACCAGGCUGGCCUUGAACUCAGAGAUCUGCCUGCCUCUGCCUCCUGAGUGCCAGGAUUAAAGGUGUACACAACCACAGCCUGGGCUAGGUUUCAAGGUUUAUUGCUGGAUAAUAUUUGUGAUUACUUUUCUCCUCUAGUAGUGUGCAAAGAUACCUUCCAGUACCACACAUGGCAGUCAGUAGGGCUGGAGCUUCUAGCUUGACACCAGCUUUGAUUUCUCCAUCUUCAAUGACAUAAGUAACUCAUAUCUUCAGCAAUAGGACAUUAACAUCAGGUUGUGGGAGUAUAACUAAUAGCAUUGACCAUAGCUUCUAAUACAUGAGGAGGCAUUUAUGGGACUGUCUUGGUCAGUGCCUUUAAAGUUGUAACCUAUUUCUGACUCUGGAGGUUUUACUCGGUAGCAUAAUAUGUUUAGUUGGGGCAUUGACUCCCUCAUUAGGGAUGACUCUACUUAAAUCUGUCUCUCUCUCUCUCUCUCUCUCUCUCUCUCUCUCUCUCUCUCUCACACACACACACACACACACACACACAAUAUAUAUAUAUACAUAUAUAUAUAUAUAUAUAUAUAUGUAUAUAAUGUACAUCUAUCUAUAUGAAGCCUCUAUAGUACUAAAUUUUCAUAUGGCUUUUCAAAAAGCCUCUUUUGUUAGUUAUUCCUUCCCAUAAUCCUUCCUUUACCCAUACUCCCUUCUACUCCCUACUUAAUCCUUUUAUUCUAUUUUCCCAUUCAUUAUUUUAUAACACUAUUUCCUCUUACUUAAAAGAUCCCCUCCUCCCCACUGGUCCUUUAUUAAUAACCUAACCUCUGUGGUUAUUCACAUUGAAAACACACACACACACACACACACAAAGUUUCAAAGACAAUGUCCACAAAUAAGAGAAAACAUCUAAUGCAUGUCUUUUUGGGUCUGGGUUACCUCAUUCAGGAUGUUUGUUUAUACUUUCACUCAUUUACCUGACAAAUUGAUAAUUUUCGCUUUCUUAACAGCUUAAUAUUCUACUAUGUAAAUGCACCACAACUUUAUUAUCCACUUAUCAAUUGAUAGAUUCUAGAAUAUUUCCUAAUUUCUGGCUAUUAUAAAUAUAGCACUAAUAAACAUGAAUAGGCAAGUAUCUUUGUAGUAAGAUGUAGAGUCUUUGGGGAUUUUUCCAAGGAGUUUGGGGAGAUAGAUUUUCAUCUCCUUGAGGAAUUUUCCUAGGGGCUGUAGCAGUUUGCACUCUCACCAGCGAUGACAAAGUUUUCUUAAGUGUUUCUCAGCUAUAUGUGUUUCAUAUUUUGCAACUUCUCUGCUUAGUUCUACACUCCAUUUUGACAUUUGGCUAUUCAUUUUCUAGAAAUUUGUUUCUCAGUUCUUUAUAUAUUCCAAGUACUAAACCUCUUUCCUAUACAUAGUUGAUAAAGUAUUUUCCAAUCUGUAGCCUGCUCCUUUGCUCAAAUAAUGCUGUCCUUUUUCAUACAGAAGAUUUUCAGCUUUCUGAGUUCUAUUUAUUGGUCGUUGAUCUUAGUGAAUAUGCAAUUAGUAUCCUGUUCAGAAAGUGCUUUCCUGUGCCAAUGAGUUCAAGCCUAUUCUCCACUUCUUGUUCCAUCAGUUUCAGAGUACAGCCUUAUGUUGAAGUACCUGAUCCAUGUGGAAUUGAGUUUUUCACAGGGCACACAGACAUCUAGUUUGAUGAACACCACUCAUUGAAGAUGCUGUAUUUUCUUCACUCUGUAUUUACAGGUUCUUUGUCAAAAUUCAAGUGUCUUAGUUCUUCAAUUCUUGACCACUCCAGUGACCAUUCUCUCUCUCACUCUCUUCCUCUCUCUCUCUCUUCCUCUCCCUCCCCUCUGGUUUUUCCAGACAGGGUUUCCCUGUAUUGUUUUGGAGUUUUCCUGAAACUGGUUUUGCAGACCAGGAUGACCUCAAACUCACAGAGAUCUGCCUCUUCUUCUUCCCAAGGACGGCUGAAUCUGUUUUUGUUUUUUUGGUUUUUUUUUUUUUUGAGCUAAUCCACCAAGCUGAUUUUAUUAUUAGAGGGUGAAUUGAUUAACUAAUUUUUACAUUUAGUCCUAAGCUAUAAGACUCUUGAGUCAGGCAUGGUGAGCACACUAUCUAUCUUGAACUCAGGGCACAGAGACAGGGGAAUUACAAAUUUGAUGUGAGCCUUGCCUUCAUAAUAAGUUUAAAGUUAAGAUGGUUGACAAAAUAUAACCCUAGGUUAAAAUAAUUAAUUAAUUAAUUAAUUUAAAAAUCACUUUUAGACAGGUGAGUUGGGGCAUGACUUUAAUCCCAGAACUUGGGAGGCAGAGGCAGGCAGACCUCUAUGAGUUCAAGGCCAGCCUGCUCUACAAAGUGAUUUCUAGGACAGCCAGGGCUGUUACAUAGAAAAAUCCUGUCUCAAAAAAACAAAAGAAAAAAACCGUCUUCAAGAAAAACUAAUACGUCUUAUUGUCUUGUUCUAACACGACCAAAAUCCUAUGAAAAUAUAGCCAUAAUAUUUUAAUUUUAGGAAUUGUCUAGUAUUAAUAAUAGCAUGUAUAAUAUAUAAUACAUAAAUAACUACUGCAAAUCAUCACAUAUUAUUUAUAACAAUAAAAGCUGACUACCCAAAUAUUAAACAACAAUAUCUAUUAUUUAUCAAGAAUUUGCUACAUUGAGGGACUAGGAAUUAAACAGAUUCCCUGAUAGGAAGACAGGAAGAGGGGACAUGAAUAGGCAGUAACUGUGUUGAAAUUCCAAGAUGGCUGGCUUCUUCCUCACUCCCAUGACCUGACACAAAAGCCUGGUAGCUUAAAACAAAGGCCUGGUAAAGGUUAUUUCUCCAACUGUUGGACCACCAUCCUAUGAUAUUGCCCAGCAUUAGAGUUCAGGAUCAGAUCUGGACAUGUUUAUCCCAGUUGUGCUUACCAGUCAUACUGUCUUUAUUCAAACUAACCAAACCUAAAUAGGUUAGAAAACCUUCAGAAAUUUCAAGAACCCCAGCCCUUAACGAGAUCCCGUGUUUCUGGCCUCCUGGGUCAUUCCUCUGCCUUUCAGAGGGUCUUUCUAUGCUUGUGCUAUGUUUACUAGUGAUCCUUGCCCCUAAUAGAAGCCUUUCUUCACUACUGUAUUUUCUUGGCUCUGCUGAAGAGGUUCCCCGAGGCUACAUGUUGGGCUCCUGACUUUUCCUGCUUUUAAUUCCUUAAGUAGAAGAGAAAAUAAACCUGAUCAAGUUCCCCGGGCAGUAACACUUUUUGGAGAUGGUUUAUGCUGUGACUGGUAGACAGUGUUAUAAAAAAAAAAUUCCACAUAUUGCCGGAAACUAGGUAAUAUUAAUAUUCUUAUUAUGAGGACUGAAACAUUGAGAGACAAAGUAUUACUGGCUGGUCUUGUGUGUCAGAUUGACACAAGCUAGAAUCGGCAAAGAAAGAAGCUGUAAGGCAUUUUCUCAUUUAGUGACCAAUAGGGGAGGACCUACCCCACAGUGGGUGGUGCCAACCCUUGUCUGCUGGUCCUGGGUUCCAUAAGAAAGUCAACUAAACAAGCCAUGGGAAGUAAGAAGCUUCCCUCCAUGGCCUAAGCAUCAGUUCCUGCCUCAACACCCCCCCCCUUUAGUGAUGAACAGCAAUAUUGAAAUGUAAGCCUAAUAAACCCUUUCCUCCCCAACUUGCUUUUUUUGUCAUGGUGUUUCAUGGCAGCAAUAGAAACCCUAACUGCAACACAAAGUAAAGCCCCAAACCUAAUUUGAACUCAGUUUAGUUCAGGAGUCAGGAAUCAUUGAUUUAAUGAAGAAUAAACAACUGCCUUCAACAAUGAUCAAUUUCUUUUAGUUCUACUUUGUGUGAGAUUAACUAUCUUUAUUCUCUACUCACAGAGUGCGAUAAUGUGGUCUUGGAUUCCUGACGUGGAUCAGCUUUGAAUUUCAUUUUUUUAUUCUGAGUCCCAUGUUUCUGUCUACUUCAUACCUUCACAACAAUUGGUGCAAUAUGAAAUCCUUACAUAACUGUUACGAUAAAUCUUUCUGUCAAAAGCUGCCUGAGCCCCACCGCCACAUGUGAGCUUUACGCCAGCCGCCUGCCCGAGUUAGACACAAAUGAAUACACAGAAAUUUGUAUUAGGUACAAUGCUGCUUGGCCAAUGACUAGGACUUCUCAUCUGCUAGCUCAGUCUUAAUUAUCAUAAAUCUAUAUAUUUUAUAAGACUUAUCUUAUCAGAGGCCUUAUUGGAGUCCCUCCUUGUUGGUGGAUCACAUCCUGCUGCUGGAGAAGGAAGGGGAAAAAA